UUUUCCCCCUUUUCUAUAUUUUCUCACAUUUUGUGGGAAUUUAGAUAAUAUGAAUUUCUUACCACACAUAAUUUCAAUAAUUUACAUGUCAUUUAGGAACUUGAAUAACUGUAAUAAUGGCUUGUAAACUAUUAAAAUUUCACAAAAAAAUCUAAUUCUUUUUGGACAUUGAUCCAAAUUCCUAAAAUUAUUCUUUCCUUUGAUAAAUUAUUUAUGACUCUAUAAUGUUUCAGCAAGAAGAGUACAUCUUUAAAUCACUGUCACCAUUAGGAAAUGUGUAAAAUUUGUGAAGAACAAAAUAAGUCUGACAAAUAAAAACAUUUCUUCUAUUUCAUAUCAUUCACAUUGGUCUGAUUUAAAUCUUACUUAAAGGAAACAAUUUCAUCGUGCAGUUCUGCUAAAACUCAAUAAAUUCAGGAAGAAUUUCUCAAUUUAUCAAAACCACUUAGUAAAUAUAAUAAUGGAAAUAUUGAGAAUGUAUCCUCAAAAUUCCAACCAUUAAAAAGC
rnacentral:lncRNA from 1 species